rnacentral:lncRNA from 1 species
CACUUAGUAUUGUUUUUAGCCACAGUUUGUCCCACUGUGCACUGCGGUCGUGUGUGGGACUGGCUAAAUCAAGAACUUCUUGUUGGAUGUUGUAAUCGUGGAGGUUUUUUCCGACCAGACCACUAAUGUUUUUCAUAUAACCGAAUAUUUCCAUUUAUUUUUUCGACAAUGUUCAUUUGCGUGCAUUGCAUAAAGCGCAAACAGCAAUAGCAACAACAACAGCGGAAAGAGCAAGACGAACGGUAAACGUCUCGGUGAAUUACGUCAUAAGAACUCGUUUACAUCCAGCGGCAGAGACGCGGCUGCUGCUGCUGCUCCACGGACUGACGAUUGGGGCCAACAACAAAUCGCUCCUCUGACACUCACGGCAGUGGCAGUUUUUAUCAAUGCAGUUAUUUUUGUCAUUGCGAUCUGAUCGCCCCGUGGCAAGCCACCAAGAGGCUGCCCCCAAAAAGAGUACAUGCUGUCAUGUCAACAAGUGGCAAACGGCGUUACUUAUUCUGCCGACGUUGGCAGCGCUGUCGACGCUUUGGUCAUGAAUUUUGCACAGUUUUUUGUUUCUGAUCGUGAUUUUCGAACGCUGGCAGCGCCGAAACUGCGCGGCUUCAGCUGCUGGCUGGUUUCCUCUGCAAUUGGCUUUAUUUAAUCGGUAUAGCAAUAAACUUCAACAUUUUGGUGAUGUUGAGUUGCAGUUUUGGUUUUUGGACAGGCUUCGACGAGUUUGUAUCGACUUCACCUUCGAUUUCUUAGUGCACUUUUGCACACACACACACACGCACUUAGCAGUUUCAUGUCAUAACGGUGCCUGAGAAUUGCGGUAGUCGAAAAUACGGCACUUGCGGAGUGUUGUUGUUGGGUCUUUUCUUAGCUCUGGUUGUUGUUGCUUUUUUUCGGAUUUUGGCGGUGGUGGGCUUAACGAACGCGAAUUGGAUUUGUUUUAGACAUGAUUGAACAUGUUUGAGUUGCACUUUUCACCUUCGAUUUCUUUUACACAAACACUGACACUUUUAACGGCACAUGCGGGUGGCCGAGCAUUGCUGAUGGGCAUUUAAUAAUUGUAACACCACAAAAAAAUACAAAUAAAAGCAGAAAAACAAAAAAAAAAGCUCGGCCCGAGUUUCUCCUUAUUAAUUUAUUGAUAUUGACACAUAUGGCGAGAUCAUGGACUGGCGGGGCCCAAUCCGCCAGACUAUUGCAUAUGCGCCUUUUUUGUAUACACACACUGACACUUUUGCACUGCACUUAUAACCCAGCGGGGCCCAAUCCGCUAGGUUAUUUCACUAAACACUUUUGCUGGAACACACUAACACCAACACUUUAAAAACUUAGCGGGGCCCAAUCCGCUAAGUUAUAUCACUUCUGGUAGAACAAAUUUCAACACUUUUGGUAAAACACAAUAUCACUUUUAGUCAGGAAUUGUCUUUAAAAAUGUAUAUUAAUGUUAGCAAAUGUUUACGCACAUUUCUUCGCAACUUUUAAGUCAAUUGCGCACUCAAUAUUAACACACACACUGACACUUUUACACUGCACUUAUAACCCAGCGGGGCCCAAUCCGCUAGGUUAUUUCACUACACACUUUUGCUAGAACACACUAACACCAACACUUUUAUAACCUAGCGGGGCCCAAUCCGCUAAGUUAUAUCACUUCUGGUAGAACAAAUUUCAACACUUUUGGUAAAACACAAUAUCACUUUUAGUCAGGAAUUGUCUUCAAAAAUGUAUAUUAAUGUUAGCAAAUGUUUACGCAAACUUCUUCGCAACUUUUAAGUCAAUUGCGCACUCAAUAUUAAGACACACACUGACACUUUUACACUGCACUUAUAACCCAGCGGGGCCCAAUCCGCUAGGUUAUUUCACUAAACACUUUUUCUGGAACACACUAACACCAACACUUUUAUAACCUAGCGGGGCCCAAUCCGCUAGGUUAUUUCACUAAACACUUUUGCUGGAACACACUUUUUUAACCUAGCGGGGCCCAAUCCGCUAGGAUAAAACACUUUUGCUGGAACACACUCACACUAACACUUUUAUGACCUAGCGGGGCCCAGUCCGCUAGGCCACUUUACACACACUAACACUUUUAUAACCUAGCGGGGCCCAUUCAGCAUGGCUACUUCACAAUUUCACAUUUCUGGAACAACACACGAUUAUAAACGCGGCACAACAAUAGUUUCAUUAAGGAUGUACAUUAUAACAUUUAUUUCAUUAAUAUUCAUGCACUUUUUGUUUAACGAACGCGAGCCUGCCACCGCCGUGUUGUUUCCGCCGAAUUAGUUUCCGCCAUUUUGCGAAAAGAAAGUGAUGGACAAUUAGUAUCGAGAAGCUGGAGCAGAGGUGGGGUAUCCUAUCGUUUAUAUUCGAU